GUGUUGUUGUGAGAAGUUCAUUAAACCUUAUCAUUUAGAGGAAGGAGAAGUCGUAACAAGGUUUCCGUAGGUGAACCUGCGGAAGGAUCAUUG
rnacentral:rRNA from 2 species